ACGUAGGAUCCAAGCGUUGUCCGGAUUUACUGGGUAUAAAGGGUGCGUAGGCGGCCUUGUGCGUCAGAGGUGAAAUCUCCGGGCUUAACCCGGAGGGUGCCUUGGAUACGGCAGGGGUUGAGAGUGAGAGAGGAUAAUGGGUUUCCUGGGGUAGGAGUGAAAUGCUGUAAUAUCAGGGGGAGCACCUGUGGCGAAGGCGUUCAUCUGGAACGAAUCAGACGCUGAGGGACCAAAGCGAGGGGAUCAAACAG
rnacentral:rRNA from 1 species